GCCAGGCAUGGUGGGCGUGCCUGUAAUCCCAGCUACUUGGGAGGCUGAGGCAGGAGAAUUGCUUGAACCCAGGAGGCGGAGGUUGCAGUGAGCCAAGAUCGUGCCACUGCACUCCAGCCUGGGCGACAGAGCAAGACUCUGUCUCAA
rnacentral:SRP_RNA from 1 species